UCGUGCUAGGCGGGGAGCUAGCGGUGCCCUGUACCCGAAAUCCGCUAUAGCGGGGUUGAAUUCCCAUUCCAGGCUUCUAGCCUUGUGGGACUACCUCUACUGAGCGGUGUUGAAGAUCGGGUCCUGUGCGGCAGAACACUAUGAACCCCGUCAGGUCCGGGAGGAAGCAGCGGUAAAUAGCAGCUUCUGGGUGCCACAGGUUCUCCUGGGCAGAGCUGCUAAGCAGGGGAAAGCCGUGAGGCAGGGUCGAAAGUGGGUGCACGA
rnacentral:SRP_RNA from 1 species